CCUGGAGAAUCCCAGGGACGGGGGAGCCUGGUGGGCUGCUGUCUAUGCGGUUCCACAGAGUCGGACACAACUGAAGCGACUUAGCAGCAGCAGCAGCAGCAUGUUGUAAUAUGGUCUCAGCAUAGCUAAGCUAUUUUAGCAAAAUCUAUUUUGCAUGAUUUUAUGUACACUUUUCCCCCAAGGUGAUCAGAUUUAUUAGCUGCUUUAAUCAUGUUUAAUGUGACGCUCUAUUGUAAUUUACCAAUUUGUAAUUCAUGUAUAAUAAAGGAGUACAUAGCAUCAUUUAUGCUCUACUCUGUUACCAUUAAUUCUUCUCUCCCCACCUCCACCUUGUUGAAAUGAAAUGCUUUCUUUAAGAUACUUUAUAAAAUGUGCUUGUACUUUCCACACAGAACCAAACAAAGAGAAGGAGGCUGGAACUGCACCAGCAAAAGAACCAAAUAAAGAAAAGGAGGCCGGAACUUCACCGGGAAAAGGUGAGUUAGAGGGAGGGAGAGUGAAGCUGAAUUCAACAAAGCUAGAAGCAGAAAGAGCUCAGCAAUGAUUACCAUGGAGGCUCCAAAGAGUUUCUCUGCAGUAUGUUUCAUCAGUGUGGUUUAGAGUUCUUCCUUGGCAUUUUAUCUGCACAACCUAAUCAACAUUAAUGACAAAUGGUGCUUUGAUCAGUUUUCAUCACAUUUUCAAAAGAAAAGCAGCAAUGAUACUAUCACAAGAACUUGCUGUGAUGCCAGCAAAUUUAAUAGUAGUUUCCAAGUUCCCAUGUGCAUGUGAAGGAAAAGAGAUGUCUGGUCUUCUUGGGAUUACACCAAUUUGGAAAGCUUUCUUGAUUUUUUAAAAAUUGAAUGUUUUCAUGUUAGUAUGUAAACUGUUCCAGGGUUCACUAGUAAUUUUGAAAACUAGCAUCCCGUUUUGUAACACUUUGCAUUCAUGUAGAUUUAUAGAGUGAGUUAUAUAGAGGGAUAAUAUAAGUCUAAGCAAGCAUCGUGUUACUCCUUAAUGAAUUGGAAGCAUUCAUUUCUGUACUAUUAUUCUAGUCUCACUUUAUACGGGGGUAGUCUAGUUUUAGAAAAUGAAUAAUCUUUAUCAUAUACUUUUUCAUGGAUCCAUGAAACGCUAAUUCCUUUGUUUCUUCAUGGAGGAAGUCGUUGUCAUUCCUGACCAUUUGUCUCAAGUCAAGGGACAUUAGUCUCCUAUAGAAGAAAGUUUCCGCUGAGGUAGAUGACAAUUUUGCUUUGUACAUCCAUCCACAUCACCAUUUAAAAUUUUUAUUUGGUAUUUGUGCAAUGAAAAACAUAGUUUAAAUUCUGGAAUAAUCCAUUAUUUCUCUUUUAUUCUGGAAACCCCUUCUGUGUGUUCUUACUAUGUUCAAUUUCAUUAAUGAAUUCCUAUGAUAUUAUUAUCUUCUAUACAUUAGUAAAAUACUUUUUUUUCUUUCUUUCAGUACAUUGGACUACUUUUCUUCAGCUAACUUGAAUUUACAGCUCUCAUAAAUGAAUACCUAAUGUUAGUACACUCACUUUGUCCUUGACCUUCAGUGGCUUCCAUGGAUAGUAACAUGAAUGCUAAUCCCGGCCACAUGGACCAGUCUGAAGGUUAUUUGCUUAUGGAAUGCAGAGAGUGCAAACUCCUAGAACACCUUCCAUGAGAUGGGUUCAAGGAGGUUUGGACAUCCUGGCUGAAGUUAUUGUAACAUUAUUCUUUACAAGGCUGAUGGUGUACACCUCUGUUUCCAGAUUUGGAAAGGUGCUUGGACCAGGCUGUAAGGCUUAACCAACAGAGCAGAUGAUGUAAUCCCAGAAGGCAAACUGUCAAAGUUUUAACAAAGCCUGUCCCUGACCCUUAAUCUGAAAAACCAUAUUAUAUUUGUGUGUUUAAAUGAGAAAAUGCCUACCUUUAAGUUAAAAUCAACCAACCAACCAGUCUACCAAUCCAAAAAGCUCUUUAUGUAGAACACAAUAUGAUGAAAGAGCAAGGUCAUUAUGACCGAGAAGGGCAUUUUGAAAUUAGUAACAUUUUUUUUCUGACAUUUGCAGAAGUUAAACAAGGUCAUGGCCACAUGCAGUCACAUGCUCAGGAACAUAAACUGCCAUGUAUGUGUUUGCUCUACAUGCCUAGAAAGCAAAUCGAUUUAGGAUAGAAAGAGACAUCCCUAAAUAAAGAAGGUAGGUGGUGGAAGUUAUUUCUAAAUAUCCAGUCCCCUUCAACUAUUACUUACUUUGAUCAAGGACAGAGAAAUUUCAAAGAAAAUACUCAAGUAAAAAGUAGACACAAUAAUCAUUGCUACAUAUAUAGCCCUGGCUGAGAAAGAAUUCUUGCAUGAACGUGAGCAAGACUGACAGGUGCAACAGACCUGCCUUCCAGUUUACACUAGAAUCCCUGUCCUUCACCCUCCCCCAACCCUCAGUCCAUCUAAUUGUUUUUAUUUUUAUUAUUUAUUUAUUUAUUUAUUUUACUUUAUUUUACUUUACAAUACUGUAUUGGUUUUGCCAUACAUUGACAUGAAUCCACCACGGGUGUACAUGCGUUCCCAAACAUGAACCCCCCUCCCACCUCCCUCCCCCUAACAUCUCUCUGGGUCAUCACCGUGCACCAGCCCCAAGC
ensembl:lincRNA